CCGAUCCCCCAGUGAGAGCUCCCAGCAAGAUGGCGGUCUGUGAACCAGGAAGUGGGCUCUCACCAGACAGCAAGUCUGCUGCUUUCUUGAUCCUGGACUUCGGAGCAUCCGGAAUGGGAAAUACUGAGGAUAAAGGAACAAGUUCAGUGCCAUCGCAAAGGCACAAAACAGACAAAUCUGGAAUAGAGGACGUUGUACAGGAUAACUGAGCUGUUUUCUUCAACAAGUUCUUGGCAAUUAUGAAGGAAGCCACAACA